rnacentral:lncRNA from 1 species
ACGGCCUGGCACACAGGCAUGUGAGGCUAUUUCGAAGGACACACGGGCUGGUCACACGAGUGUGUGGUUGGUCGUGUGACCCAAGUCAGAGAGUUAUGCGGGGUCAGACAUGGCCAUCUGAUCCCAUUUCAAAUAUCAGCACAGCCUGUGACACGGGCGUGUCUUUGGCCUUGUGAGACACAUGACCGGGCCACAAGGGUGUGUGUCCCCUAUAUUUUGUAAAAUUUUCUAAGUUUUCUAAAAGUUUCCUGAGUUAUCGGUUUAGUCCCAAACCACUUCUAAUGCAUG